GUGCUGGAAUUUCAGCCUGAUUGUCCCAAAGCCUCUGUUCUUUUUACCCCACCAAACACACAAAUGCAGUUUCUUUUGUCAUUAGCCCAGUGCUUUUCCCUUGGAGUAGAUACAGUAGAUGCUGAUUUUUGCCUUCAUCAGCAAAAGUCUUUACCCCAGACACAUAACUGGAGAUCAGUCAUAGAACAGAGAGCACUAAUGUAGAAGGGCACAGGUCCCUUUGAUUACUGAACACUCAGGUCACUCGGAAGAGUGGAAGCCUCAUCAGAAACCUUCGGGUUUGACAGGACAUCUGUUUCCAGGAGCACGGUGGGUGUAAACAGAGCAGCUGCCAGCCUCUGUCCUGGUUGGGGUUUUGUGUUUGCUGGUUUUUCUUUUUUUUUUUUUUUAAACACAUUAUACUCUAUUAAAACCACCCCUAUUUGGCAUCAAAAGCAUUAAUAAAUCCCACAUAAGGCACAGUCCCUCCAGUGGUUAAUCAAUCCAUAAAAAUCUAUUUAGCACCUACUGUGUGUCCAGCAUUUCAAUCCCAUGACGUUGAUUAAAGCAGGAAGUAAGGAGUCACAGCUGCCAAAUUUUCACCAUGGCCACCGUGCUCUGUGAUGUGUCACAAAGGCAUUUGCCAAUCAUGCAAUCAACCAUUUACUGAGAACCUGCUUUGUUGCUCAACUCUGUGCUGGCGACUCUCAGGAAGACAGGGAAGCUUGACUACAUUUCCCAGCGUCCUUUGGAGUGAGACUACAUCUCCCAGCAUCCUGGCAGUUAGACAAUUUUCUAGUCUCCUUUGCAGGGAUCUUGGAAGCCCCAUGUUGAAGGUGGCAGAGCAACAAAAAUUGAGGAAACCCUGAAUCCCUGAAUUACUAUUUGGAGAUGACCACCCACUAAUUCGGAACACUCAUUAUUGGGCUUUAGGAGAAUGAGAAGUUCUAUCAUGUUUGAGACUCCGUACAUCUUUGGAUUUGUUUUAACAGCUAGUUUUACCCUGGCUAACAUGGCAAUUGACAGCCUCUGAGAGGAGAUUUGGAGAAUCUGCUUUUUUAACAAGUACUCCAGGGGAGUUUGAGAAUCACUGCUGAAAGCCAAGGGGAGCCAGCCACCCAAGGAUUUAACGCUGACCAAGGAACACCACGCUAUUUGCAUUUUAGAAUGACAGCAAGGGAGCAGAACUCUGCCCCCUUCUUGUCUGCCAAGGAGAACAAUCUACUGACUCAAAAGAAAAAGAAAACUUUGGUAAGAGAAAAUUGAAGCUCUAGAUGAGUGAAAAGAUUCUAACAGCACCAAGCUGCCGUAAAUGAGCUCAAGUCUCCUGGCCAGGACAAAUUACACUCCAGGGAGUAGAGAGAACUCGCCUCUGAAGCUGUAAAGCCUCUGCUGAUAAUCUUUACAGAACAUGGAGACUGUGAAAGAAAUUGGAACGCUAGAAAUGGCAAAAUAUAGCUCUGAUUAGUAAAGAGGGGGAAAGCUUCUGCAAACUACAAAAGUGGGGCUAUCCUAUCCAUCCUCAUUAAAUUCCCUGAUCAGACUACUUAAGGCUGAGCUGUGAGUACGUGAAAAAUGGAGCAGAAUCCUCUAGAAGCCUGUGUGGGUUCUUUAAGAGCAAGCCACGACAAGAUGAAAAAACAAGAGCCUAAAGAAGGGAGGCAACUUUUCCAAAGCCACACAUUAAACCUGUGGCAGUUAAGAGCCAGAACUGUGGUAUCCUGGCCCUCAGCCCCACACCUCUACUGCAAUACCUGGGAUGUGGGCCCAUGGAUUGAUUUAUGGAUUUUGACUAACAUAUCUUCAAUUGAGCAAUCACUCGGAUGAUCGAUUGAACACUCCUUCACCAAACAAGGCUGGAGGCCUGGGAUGGACGCCGGUGGUUUGAGAUAUGCAGAAGAAAUGGGUCCUGCCCUCCGGAACACUCCAGAGAAUAUCAUGGCACUUUAUAACAUCAGUGUCAAUCAGCAUUGAUUGACAAGCCCCCUGGACUUUGGAUGACUUCUCUGAAGCCCCAGCUGUGCCUGGCUGGGCCAUCUCCCUUCUCCACUUGGCCACAGCAUAAACUGCAGUCAAGCCACAGGAGUGACCUCAAGGCCUCAGGCCACUUUUCCAGCCUCAGCUUUUCUUAGGGGCCCAGCCCACUUACAAUAGAAAUUUGCCAAAGACUGGGUUGGUAAGUAAUGGAUAAGUUUUCAUAUUUACUAUUUUCAUUUCUGAAUCUCUCUUUACAUGCAGUUAAGCCAGGAAAUCCUGAAAGAACACUCUUCAGAAUGUUUUUAAGUAAAACAACAAGUUUCUGUUAAUUUAGGGCCAACCCAUGAGUAAACA
rnacentral:lncRNA from 1 species